rnacentral:rRNA from 1 species
GCGCACCAGGCGAGAAUCCUUCGCAAUGCAGGAAACUGCGACGAGGGAACUCCAAGUGCCUACGCUCAGCGUAGGCUGUUCUCAAGCCUAGAAAGCUUGAGGAGUAAGGGCUGGGUAAGACGGGUGCCAUCUGUGGUAGCAGUCAAUAGAUUCGAUUUGUUACUGCAAGGCAUAAGCCGCCGCGGUAAUACCCGCAGCCCAAGUGGUGGCCGCUUUUAUGGGCCUAAAGCGUCCGUAGCCGGCCCGGUAAAUGCCUGGGUAAAUCGUGGAGCCCAACUUCACGAAUUCCGGGUAGACUGCCGAGCUCGGGACCGGAAGAGGGAGAGGGUACUUCAGGGGUAGGGGUGAAAAUUUCCUUCCAUUAACGCUUUGCGCGAAGCGGAAAGGGUUAUCA